CCUACGGGAGGCAGCAGUGGGGAAUAUUGCACAAUGGGGGAAACCCUGAUGCAGCGACGCCGCGUGAGCGAUGAAGUAUUUCGGUAUGUAAAGCUCUAUCAGCAGGGAAGAAAAUGACGGUACCUGACUAAGAAGCCCUGGCUAACUACGUUCCAGCAGCCGCGGUAAUCCGUAGGGGGCAAGCGUCAUCCGGAUUGACUGGGUGUAAAGGGAGCGUAGACGGGGGUGCAAGCCAGAUGUGAAAGCCCGGGGCUCAACCCCAGGACUGCAUUUGGAACUGUGCAGCUAGAGUGUCGGAGAGGCAGGCGGAAUUCCUAGUGUAGCGGUGAAAUGCGUAGAUAUUAGGAGGAACACCAGUGGCGAAGGCAGCCUGCUGGACGAUGACUGACGUUGAGGCUCGAAAGCGUGGGGAGCAAACAGGAUUAGAUACCCUUGUAGUC
rnacentral:rRNA from 1 species